rnacentral:misc_RNA from 1 species
GUAGGUGAACCUGCGGAAGGAUCAUUAACAAAUCUAAACAACUACCUGUUGAAACGUUUUCGUUGCUAUCUUUCUAGUCUGAUGCCAUCCCAGCUCACGCUCCUGCUUUCUCUGUAAGGAGAGAUGGGAGGGUGAAGAGAGGAUGUGCUGAAGGAUGAACAAAGGUAGCAACGUAUAUUACCUAUUUACUCUUUACCACUGACUAACCACACAAAUAUAAUGUAAUAACAAAAACAACUUUUAACAAUGGAUCUCUUGGCUCCU